rnacentral:miRNA from 1 species
AUAAAGCUAGAUUACCGGAGUU